GAGUUUGAUCAUGGCUCAAAACGAACGCUGGCGGCGUGCCUAACACAUGCAAGUCGAACGAGAAAGUUCCUUCGGGAGCGAGUAGAGUGGCGCACGGGUGAGUAACGCGUGGGUAAUCUGCCCUUGGGUGGGGGAUAACUUCGGGAAACUGAAGCUAAUACCGCAUACGAUAAUUUAUUAUGAAAGGUGGGGAUCUUCGGACCUGCCGCCCUUGGAUGAGCCCGCGUAUCAUUAGGUAGUUGGUGGGGUAAUGGCCCACCAAGCCGAAGAUGAUUAGCUGGUCUGAGAGGAUGAUCAGCCACACUGGGACUGAGACACGGCCCAGACUCCUACGGGAGGCAGCAGUGGGGAAUAUUGCGCAAUGGAGGAAACUCUGACGCAGCAACGCCGCGUGUGUGAAGAAGGUUUUCGGAUCGUAAGGCACUGUUGAGUGGGAAGAGACGGGUGUAGUUAAUACUUGCACCCCCGACGGUACCACUCGAGGAAGCACCGGCUAACUCCGUGCCAGCAGCCGCGGCAAUACGGAGGGUGCAAGCGUUGUUCGGAAUUAUUGGGCGUAAAGGGCGCGUAGGCGGGCCAUUAAGUCUGAUGUGAAAUCCCUCGGCUCAACCGAGGACGUGCAUUGGAAACUGAUGGUCUUGAGUCCUGGAGAGGAAGGCGGAAUUCCCAGUGUAGAGGUGAAAUUCGUAGAUAUUGGGAGGAACACCAGUGGCGAAGGCGGCCUUCUGGACAGUGACUGACGCUGAGGCGCGAAAGCGUGGGUAGCAAACAGGAUUAGAUACCCUGGUAGUCCACGCCGUAAACGAUGGGUACUAGUUGGUGCGGGUGUUGACCCCUGCGCUGACAAAGCUAACGCAUUAAGUACCCCGCCUGGGGAGUACGGCCGCAAGGCUAAAACUCAAAGGAAUUGACGGGGGCCCGCACAAGCGGUGGAGCAUGUGGAUUAAUUCGAAGCAACGCGAAGAACCUUACCUAGCCUUGACAUCCUUGGAACUCUCCCGAAAAGGAGAGAUGCCCUUCGGGGAAUCAAGUGACAGGUGCUGCAUGGCUGUCGUCAGCUCGUGUCGUGAGAUGUUGGGUUAAGUCCCGCAACGAGCGCAACCCUUAUUUUUAGUUACUAAUUCGUUAGGUUCUCUAGAAAGACUGCCGGUGACAAACCGGAGGAAGGUGAGGAUGACGUCAAGUCAGCAUGCCCCUUAUGUCCUGGGCUACACACGUGCUACAAUGGUUAAGACAAAGGGUCGCGAGCUUGCAAGAGUCAGCUAAUCCCAUAAACUUAGCCUAAGUUCAGAUCGUAGGCUGCAACUCGCCUGCAUGAAGUUGGAAUCGCUAGUAAUCGCUGGUCAGCCAUACAGCGGUGAAUCCGUUCCCGGGCCUUGUACACACCGCCCGUCACACCAUGGGAGCUGGUCAUACCCGAAACCGUUUGCUUAACCGUUCGGAGAGCGGCGUCUAAGGUAGGGCUAGUGACUGGGGUGAAGUCGUAACAAGGUAACC
rnacentral:rRNA from 1 species